AACGAACGCUGGCGGCAGGCCUAACACAUGCAAGUCGAACGCCCCGCAAGGGGAGUGGCGCACGGGUGAGUAACGCGUGGGAAUAUGCCCUUCGGUUCGGAAUAACACAGGGAAACUUGUGCUAAUACCGGAUACGAUCUACGGAUGAAAGAUUUAUCGCCGAGGGAGUAGCCCGAGUAGGAUUAGCUAGUUGGUGAGGUAAUGGCUCACCAAGGCGACGAUCCUUAGCUGGUCUGAGAGGAUGAUCAGCCACACUGGGACUGAGACACGGCCCAGACUCCUACGGGAGGCAGCAGUGGGGAAUAUUGGACAAUGGGCGAAAGCUUGAUCCAGCCAUGCCGCGUGAGUGAUGAAGGCCUUAGGGUUGUAAAGCUCUUUCGCCAGGGAAGAUAAUGACGGUACCUGGAAAAGAAGCCUCGGCUAACUCCGUGCCAGCCGCCGCCGUAA
rnacentral:rRNA from 1 species